rnacentral:piRNA from 1 species
GGAUAAUGGGCCAGCAUAUACUUCUAC